rnacentral:rRNA from 1 species
AUUGAACGCUGGCGGCAUGCCUUACACAUGCAAGUCGAACGGCAGCACGGGAGCAAUCCUGGUGGCGAGUGGCGAACGGGUGAGUAAAGUAUCGGAACGUGCCCAGUCGUGGGGGAUAACGUAGCGAAAGUUACGCUAAUACCGCAUACGAUCUAUGGAUGAAAGCGGGGGAUCGCAAGAACGUGCGCGACUGGAUGGGGCGGUAUCAGAUUAGGUAGUUGGUGGGGUAAAGGCUCACCAAGCCGACGAUCUGUAGCUGGUCUGAGAGGUCGACCAGCCACACUGGGACUGAGACACGGCCCAGACUCCUACGGGAGGCAGCAGUGGGGAAUUUUGGACAAUGGGCGAAAGCCUGAUCCAGCCAUGCCGCGUGCAGGAUGAAGGCCUUCGGGUUGUAAACUGCUUUUGUACGGAACGAAAAGGUUUGGCCUAAUAAGCUGAGCUCAUGACGGUACCGUAAGAAUAAGCACCGGCUAACUACGUGCCAGCCGCCGCGGUAA